GAAGAUGCGACGCAAGAGAGGAGGCUGUUCCGCCGUGCACUGUCGUCGCUCCUGGGGUCGAUUGAAGCCGCCGCCGCAGCUAGGGCUUGCCGUGCUCCUGCAACAAUAUAUUUUAGAAGUUGUAUUGGAUUGGAAGAGAGGGAAGGGGAGUGUUUGAACUUUCAAUUUCAUUAAUUUUUGCUGAAUUUCUGUGCCUGUGGGUGAAUACUGGAUUGUGAAGGAUGGUUAGGAUUGUGAAUACAGAAGUUUGGACCUCUUCAUAUAUGGGAACAAUGCUGAUCGAUUCCUGCAUUGGAGCACUAGGUUCCAAAUUGUUCUAGGCGUGGAAAGGGGAUUGCAGUACCUUCAUGAGGAUUCACAUCUAAGAAUUGUUCACCAAGACAUCAAAGCAAGCAACAUUCUUCUUGAUCAUAAGUUUCAUCCCAAGAUUGGAGACUUUGGCCUUGCCAGGUUCUUCCCUGAAGACCAAGCUUAUCUUAGCACACAAUUCGCUGGAACAU